rnacentral:rRNA from 1 species
GUGUCAGCCGCCGCGGUAAUACGGAGGGUGCAAGCGUUAUCCGGAUUCACUGGGUUUAAAGGGUGCGUAGGCGGGCAGGUAAGUCAGUGGUGAAAUCCCCGGGCUUAACUUGGGAACUGCCGUUGAUACUAUCUGUCUUGAAUAUCGUGGAGGUGAGCGGAAUAUGUCAUGUAGCGGUGAAAUGCUUAGAUAUGACAUAGAACACCCAUUGCGAAGGCAGCUCACUACACGAUAAUUGACGCUGAGGCACGAAAGCGUGGGGAGCAAACAGGAUUAGAUACCCCGGUAGUCC